AUUUGACGUUAGCGACAGAAGAAGCACCGGCUAACUCCGUGCCAGCAGCCGCGGUAAUACGGAGGGUGCGAGCGUUAAUCGGAAUUACUGGGCGUAAAGCGCAUGCAGGUGGUUUGUUAAGUCAGAUGUGAAAGCCCGGGGCUCAACCUCGGAAUUGCAUUUGAAACUGGCAGACUAGAGUACUGUAGAGGGGGGUAGAAUUUCAGGUGUAGCGGUGAAAUGCGUAGAGAUCUGAAGGAAUACCGGUGGCGAAGGCGGCCCCCUGGACAGAUACUGACACUCAGAUGCGAAAGCGUGGGGAGCAAACAGGAUUAGAUACCCUGGUAGUCCACGCCGUAAACGAUGUCUACUUGGAGGUUGUGGCCUUGAGCCGUGGCUUUCGGAGCUAACGCGUUAAGUAGACCGCCUGGGGAGUACGGUCGCAAGAUUAAAACUCAAAUGAAUUGACGGGGGCCCGCACAAGCGGUGGAGCAUGUGGUUUAAUUCGAUGCAACGCGAAGAACCUUACCUACUCUUGACAUCCAGAGAACUU
rnacentral:rRNA from 1 species